rnacentral:rRNA from 1 species
GUGUCGUCAGCUCGUGUCGUGAGAUGUUCGGUUAAGUCCGCUAACGAGCGCAACCCUCGCUGUGUGUUAUAUGUGUCACACGGGACUGCCGGUCUUAAGCCGGAGGAAGGUGGGGAUGAUGUCAAGUCAGCAUGGCCUUUAUAUCCUGGGCUACACACACGCUACAAUGGCCAACACAAUAGGUUGCUAAGCCGCGAGGUGGCGCCAAUCCAUAAAGUUGGUCUCAGUUCAGAUUGUAGGCUGCAACCCGCCUGCAUGAAGAUGGAGUUGCUAGUAACCGCAGGUCAGCUAUACUGCGGUGAAUACGUUCCCGGGGCUU